GUGGGGAAUCUUGCGCAAUGGGCGAAAGCCUGACGCAGCCAUGCCGCGUGAAUGAUGAAGGUCUUAGGAUUGUAAAAUUCUUUCACCGGGGACGAUAAUGACGGCACCCGGAGAAGAAGCUCCGGCUAACUUCGUGCCAGCAGCCGCGGUAAUACGAAGGGGGCUAGCGUUGCUCGGAAUUACUGGGCGUAAAGGGCGCGUAGGCGGACAGCUUAGUCAGAGGUGAAAGCCCAGGGCUCAACCUUGGAAUUGCCGUUGAUACUGGCUGUCUUGAGUUUGGGAGAGGUGAGUGGAACUCCGAGUGUAGAGGUGAAAUUCGUAGAUAUUCGGAAGAACACCAGUGGCGAAGGCGACUCACUGGCCCAAUACUGACGCUGAGGCGCGAAAGCGUGGGGAGCAAACAGGAUUAGAUACCCUGGUAGUCC
rnacentral:rRNA from 1 species